CUCUGCUGCCCCAGGAAUGGGCUGAUUUCCUGAGUACACAUUAAUCUGAGCUCCCUCAGCCCUAGGGGUAGGGGGAUUGGGGGCACAAGAUGGGUGGAGCCAGAUAGGGAAGAUUCCCCCAGUGUUGUCCUGCUCCCAGUCCAGGUUUGGGACAAUGCCGGCAGCGUUUCCCUGUGUCUUUCCCCCACAAAGUCUCCAAGUCUUUCCUCAAAUGAUCGUCAAGGUUUGGGAGAAACAAUCUCUUCCUCUGCCCGGGUUGCGUGGAUCUCCAGUGGAAAGGCUUUAUCUACCAAGAAAUGAAUUGGAUAAUCCACAUAAACAAAAAGCUUGGAAAAUUUAUCCACCAGAAUUUGCCGUGGAGAUACUUUUUGGUAUGGUUUCUGUGGAUUCUCUGCUCUUUGUGCUCUCCUCCCCACAUUGGUGGCUCCAUCUGGCACAGGGAAGCUUCUGGAUGUCAGAAGGUGGAUUCUCACUCUGUCACCCAGGCUGGAGUGUAGUGGCACAAUCUUUGCUCACUUCAACCUCUGCCUUCUGCGUUCGAGCAAUUCUCCUGCCUCAGCCUCCCGAGUAACUGGGAUUACAGGGACAGUAAGUGGUGUUUCCUGGGAGAUGCUACGGUGUUAUUUUUGCACUACAAGGGCUCUGAAGACUGCCAGGCUUGAAGUGAAGAACCACGUCACCUGCCUAUCCCAGCCAGGUGACAGUGGACAAGGGGCUUCACCUCUGAGCUGUUUUCCAGCUGUACUGGGCACAUUCCUCCUCUCACCCUGACUCACAAGGUGUUAGCAAUAAUGGACACUCCUCUAUCUUCUGCCACACUCUGAACAAUACUUCACUUCCAUCAAAUGGAUUCAUCCCAAAGGUAAUGCCCAUCGCUUCUGGAGGGAGAAAGAUCCCCUACAAAAGACCAUGUUUCUUCUCAGCUUGCUCAGUCCAGCUGAGCCAGCUUUCCACUGGACUCCUGAAUGUGAGAAGGACACAGGCUCCCAGGACUAUCCAGAAGCAUGCCUCAUCACCAUAAAGCUCUGAAACACCGGCUGGGUGCAGAGGCUCACACCCGUAAUCCCAACACAUUCAGAGGCUGAGUUCCUUUCUGCAGAGGCACCUGCUGUCACUUGCUCCUCACGAAUUCUGCUAGAGCUACACUAUGUGUAGACAUAUGGCAGCGUGCUCCUCAGCCUCUUCCGUGCUGGUUUGUCCACUGAAUUUAUCUUGGCGAUUUUUCCUCGUGAUUACAUGUAGAGCUGCCUCAUUAUCUACAGUAGCUGGGAUGCACAUUUCACAUGUUUAUGUACACUGACUUCCAAAAGGUUGCACUUACAGUAUGUGAGUUUCUAAAAAGGAGAGACCAUGUUGGCAGUUCUCCACACAGAAGACAAACUGAGAAGGGAGAGCGGGCACGAAUUACUCAUCUGUCCACAGAGAUGGUGAGACAGCUCAGUGUGGGAAGCUGUAUAAGGGAAGUAUAUACAAUUCUACCUGAAUUGGAAGUAAACAGGGACAUUGCAUUUCUGGUAUUCAGCUGGAGUUGAACACGCUUCACAGAUGAGGCUCACUAUGGCCAAGUCCCAGGGCUGAGGUCCAGGGAGGGGCAGGCUGAGUCAGCCCAUCAAUUCAUCAACAGAGGGAACAGGAGAGGACAGGGGCAGGCCAGCCUGGAACCUAGAGCCUUUGGAUUUCUAUUUUUACUUCUUACAACGAGGUGGUUUAAAAAAAGAGGAGGGGGCCAGGCACGGUGGUUCAUGCCUGUAUUCCCGGCCCUUUGGGAGGCCGAGACAGGCGGAUGACAUGAGGUCAGGAGUUUAAGACCAGCCUGGCCAACAUGGCAAAAAUCCUGUCUCUACUAAAAGUACAAAAAUUAGCCAGGCGUGGUGGCAGGCACCUAUAAUCCCAGCCACUCAGGAGGCUGAGGCAGGAGAAUUGCUUGAACUCAGGAGGCGGAAGUUGCAGUGAGCUGAGAUCGCACCACUGCACUCCAGCCUGGGCAACAGAGUGAGACUCCAUCUAAAAAAAAAAAAAGAAGAAGAGGUUAGACUUAACUGUUUCCAAGAUUUCAUCCAGUUGUGAAAUCCUGUUAUCUGAACUGCCAGGCCUACAAGUUCAAUUCAAAAGAUGGAAUGUAGCUUCCUGCAGUCUUUAAAUGAACAAAACAAACAGCACAAGCUACACUGCGAAGAUGAGUCUGCACUACAUAUCUUUCUUUUUGCCCCCAGGAACCUGGCUUACCAGUAUAUCACCCCAGCGUUGACACACUGGUGAGUGACGACAGUGCGCUUUUUGCAAAUCCUGUGCACUAUGACUUUUUUCCUUCAAGAAUAGAUUUGACUGGUCUGAAAUUCUAUUUUCAUAUUUGGCUGUGCUCUAGUAAUAUCCUGCCUCACUGGACAUGUGGAAUUGUCCUGCGGUUCAGGGAACAGGGAGAGAACAGGGCUGGUCCUCCUCUGCCUCUGGGGGCCCAGCCUCCCAACCGGCCAAGUCACAGUCUCUCCUGAUGAGCUUCCAGUAGCUCACUCUCUCCUGCUGCUAAUCUCUGUUUCCUCUUCUAACCAUGACCCUGUUGUUCCCUGAAUGCGCGAUGUUUUAUCACACUGUAGUUUAUGACAUUUGGAAAUACCUGAGGAUUUAAUGAAAAGGAAAACUUUCCGCCAUUUUCCUUAAUGUCAGUUUGUAGCUUUUUCUUCUGCUGCCGAGGUAAGUACUUCACUUUCAAACAGAAGAUACAAUUUGCAAAGAUUCCCAUCACCAUCCUGUAGGAAACAAAGUUUUUAAGGACCCUCUCUUAAGUCAAUAUGACAGUGAAUUUAGAAUUGUUAUACAUACAAACUGGAAAAAUUAGGCAUUACCUUAAGAAACAUUGUAAUCAUGUUGUAAAUUGAACACAUUGUAAAAAUUGAAUAUCAUAGCUUGCAACAUGUGUGUUGGUUUAAGAAUGAUUUCUAGCUUUUGUGGCUGAUAUUACAACACCCAAAAUCCCUUUGUACAGGCUUAUAAUAUACAUCUUAAUAAAAACAUGACAGAUUUUAGUUACAGAUUGUGUGACUCAAGAACAUAGAAGCAUUUAUUUCUAAAUUAAAAAUUAACAUUAUGUGAUAGUGAAACAUGGGUUUUUGUAUAUAAUUCUAUGCAUUCAAAAAGACUCAUUAUGUGGGUUUCUGUUAAGACAUUCUGGAGAAAAACCGAACAAUUGGUAAUAAAAAUAUACAACUAUGUUUAAAUGGAAUAUGUAUAUGUGUAUAUACACAUAUAUAUUCUGCAUUUGGGUGUUUUUGGGAGGGAGAUGGAGUCUCACUCUGACACCCAGGCUGGAGUACAGUGGUGUGAUCUCAGCUGGUUGCAACCUCCGCCUCCCGGUUCAAGUGAUUCUCCUGCCUCAGCCUCCAGCGUAGCUGGGAUUACAGGCGCCCACCACCAUGCCUGGCUAAUUUUUUUCUAUUUUUACUAGAAAUGGGUUUUUGUCAUGUUGCCCAGGCUGGUAUUUGUCCAUUUUUAGAAACAAGGAGUCACGUCUAACAGCCUCCCUCAAAGAAAGCUGCCCUUUGGAGAUAGCGGUUCCCGAGUCCCGUGUCGGUUUGGGGGUCGCUGUUCCGGGUCCCUUGUCAGUUUGGGGAUCGCGGGUCCGGGUUCAGUGUUAGUUUGGGGAUUGCGGUUCUGCGUGCUUUAUCAGUUUGGCGAAAACUCGCACUCGGAGAGCGCAGCGUCCCUAGCAGGGACCGUCGCCAGAAGGCGCCCAGAAUUGGGUCCCUCCAGGUGGGGAGCGGGACCCGGCCUCAGGCGGGGUUUGUCUUUUCAGCCUGAGGGGGUUCAGGGCUUUGUUUCAGUUUCAUGUUUCAGGAGGGAUUUAGCCAAUGAGGAUAAAUCCAAAGCUCGGCUUUGGGAGAGGUGGGUGGAUGGUGCUGUCCUUUAACUGAGAAAUGCAAGGGAUUCGCAAGGGCGGGAAAGAAGAAAAUUUCGGGAAAGUUCGUGGAAACAGGAGAGUGAGAUAAUAAAUUUACUUUAAGACUUCCUGAGUUUGAAAUUCGUGAUAGUGUUUGUAACUAGUUAGAAAUAUAUUUUUGUAACUAGUUAGAAAUACAUUUAUCUGCCACUCAAGAGAGGCGAGGGCUGGAGAUACAGAUCUGAGAUUCACUGAAAUGGGAAUAAAGCAAUGGGGAAGAUCCAGAUUUUUAGGGUACUGAAUAAAAUGAGAAUAGAAAGGAUAGAGUAGAGAAUACAGUGGAAAAGGUAUGGCUUUGAAUCCUGACUCCACAAUUUAUUACCAAGGGGAUUGGGGACACCGUAAUUUACCAAGUUUCAUAAUUACAACCUACUCUAUAGUGUUGUCUAAGAAACAACAAGAGAUUUUGGGGGAGGAGAGAGACUCUGGUUUCCAGAGUUACCACAUUAUAAUGCUCAAAAUGUCCAAUCUUCAACAAAAAAUUAUGAGGCAUGCAAAAAAAAAAAAAAGAAACAUGAAAAAAUGGCCAAAUCAAAGGAAAAAGUAAAUGAACAGAAACUGUCCCUGAGCCGAGGAAGUGCAGAUACAGGAAUUAUAAGAGAAAUACUUUAAAUGACCUGUCUUAAACAUGAACAAAAAGUGAAAAGAAACAUAGAAAAAGAUCGGAAAGAAACAACCAGGAGAACAAGGUCUCAAAAACAAAUAGGGAAUAUGCAAAAGAAUAAUCAAAUGGUCAACAAACAUGAAAAAAGCUCAACAUCACUAAUCAUCAGAGAAGUGCAAAUCAAAACUGCAAUGAGAUACCAUCAGAACAGUUAUUAUUAAAAAGUCAAGGAACAACAUAUGCUGGCAAGGGUGCAGAGAAAAGGAAAUGCUUAUACACUGUUGGUGGGGAUGUAAAUUAGCUCAACCACUGUGGAAAGCAGUUUGGAGAUUUCUCAAAGAGCUGAAAACAGAACUGCCAUUCGACCCAGCUAUCCCAUUACUGGGUACACAUCCAAAAGAAAAGAACUCAUUCUACCAAAAAGACACAUGCACUAGUAUGUUCAUCACAGCACUAUUCACAAUAGCAAAGACAUGGAAUCAACUCAGGUGCCCAUCAACAAUGGAUUGGAUAAAGAAAAUGUGGUACAUAUGCACCAUGGGAUACUAUGAAGCCAUAAAAAGAAUGAAAUCAUGUCCUUUGCAGCAACAUGGAUGCAACUGGAGGCCAUUGUUCUAAGCGAAUUAAUAAAGGAACAGAAAAACCAAAUACUGCAUGUUCAAAUUUGUAAAUGGGAGCUAAACUCUGGGUACUCAUGGACCAUAAAGAUGGCAACAAUAGACACUGGGGACUACUAGACAGGGAGGGAGGGAAAAGGGCAAGGGUUGAAAAAACUAUUGGUACAAUGCUCAGUAUCUGGGUGAGGGGAUCAGUCAUACCCCAAACCUCAGCAACACAAAUUAUACCUAGGUAACAAACCUGCACAUGUACCCUCUGAAUCUAAAAUAAAAUUUGAAAUUAUUUAAAAAAAUAAAGAUUAUUAAUAGAUAGAAAUUAUAAAAGGAACCAAACAGAAAUUAUGGAACUGAAAAGAACCAAAAAAAUUGUAUAGUUAAAAAGUACAAUAGCAUGAAGCAUGAUGGCUCAUGCCUGUAAACCUACCAUCUUGGGAGGCCAAGGCGGGAGGAUCACUUGAGGCUAAGAGUUUGCCUUGGCAACAUAGCGAGACCCCAUCUUUACAAAAAAAUUAAAAAAUUAACUGGGCAUGGUGGUGCAUGUCUGUGGCUGUAGCUACUCAGGAGGCUAAGGCAGGAGGAUCACUUGAGCCCAGGAGUUCACAGCUGUAGUGAGCUAUGAUUGCACUCCUGCACUCUAGCCUGGGUAACAGAGCAACACCUUGUCUCAUUAAAAAAAAAAAAAAAAAAAAAAAAUUCACAAGUGACGCUCAACAGAUUUGAGCAGGUUAAAGAAGGAAUGAGCAAACUUGAAAACAAUUGAAAUUAUUAAGUCUAAGGAGCAGAAAGUAAAAGAAUGAAGAACAAAGUCCAAAAGAUUUGUGGACACCAUCAAGUGUACCAGCAUAUGCAUGAUGGGAGUCCCAGAAAGAAAUAAGAGGGUAAAAAGGGCAGGAAGAGUGACUGAAGAAACAGUGGCCCCAAAGUCCCAAUUUGAUAAAAGACAUAAUGUAACACUUCUAAUAAGCUCAAUGAACUUCAAGUAUGAUAAACUCAAAGAGUUCACAAUAGCAUUAUAUUAUAAUCAAACUGUUGAAAGCCAAAGACAGAGAAGCUUAAAAGCAGCUUGAGAGAAAUUAUCAGUACAUACAAAGGACCUUCCAUAAGAUUAACAGCCAAUUUAUUACCAUGGAGGCCAGAAGGCAGUGGGAUGAUAUAAAGUGCUGAAAGAAAACAAACAAACUGGCAACCAUGAAUUCUGUAUCUGUCAAAACUAUCCUGUAGAAAUGAUGGAGAUGACAGGCGCAGUAACUCAUUCCUGUAAUCCCAACACUUUGGGAAGCUGAGGCAGGUGGAUUGCUUGAGCUCAGGAGUUCAAGAACAGCCUAGGCAACAUGGCAAAACCCCAUCUCUACAAAAAACAAAAAUUAGCUGGAUGUGGUGGCACAUGCCUGUGGUCCCAGCUUCCUGGGAGGCUGAGGCAGGAGGAACACUUGAGCCCUGGAGGUUGAGGCUACAGUGAGUUGUGAUUAUGCCACUGCCCUCCAGCCCAGGUGAUAGAGUCACCCCAUCUAAAAAAAAUGUGUAAUAAAAACCUACAGAAUGCUUGAAAAACCAUCAAACUACUAUGUAAUUGUUGUUAUUUUUAAAGAAAGCAAAAAUACAGGUGUGAAAACUAUUAUGGUAUUGCUCUGCAGUUAUCACAUCAAAGAUUCAAGCUAGAAAUCCUUUACAGUCUAUUCAACAUCAUUGGUCAGGCAUUCUAGAAUAUAGUGGAUGUGAUCAUCCCUUUGUUGUACAGACCCAUUAGGUUUCCAGGAUCUUUUGUUGUAAGUCCAAUACACCAGCAAUAGAUUUAACUAUAUCAAAAUGCCAAGAUUAAAAAAAGUCUCUUUGCACCCAA